AUGACUUAAUUGGUCAGGGGUGAGGCUUGAGCUUUAAUUGUUUUUCAAAAUGUCCCAGGUGAUUUUAAUGAGCAGCCAGGCUUGCCUGCUCUGACUUUUAGGAUUAAUUCCAGACUCCUGAGUGUGGUUUAAAAGGCCCUUCGUAACCUGGCUUGCCCCUCUGGUCUCGUCCUCCCAACCCACGCUCAUUUCCUCUGCUCCGAGAUACAGAACGCACCAGGCGACACUGUCUUUAAGCUUGGAAUGUUCCUCCUUUCCAUCUGCCUGGCAAAUGUUGAGUCAUCCUUUAAGUCUAGGCUGAAGGAUGUUCUUCCCUAAGAAGCAUUCCAGAUUCUUGCUUACAUAUCACAUUUAAAGUUAUGAUGGAUGGAGUGCAUAACACCUGACAGCAGCAAGACCUUUUGAGGAACCGAACAUUGACUACAGUAUAUCAUGGAUUUUCCUCAUGGAGCAUCUGUGGCUAUUUCUCGGCUGAGCUCAUCCUUUUGGAUUUGAUGAAGGCCAUGCCGUGUGUCCGCAUGUCAGGGUCCUUGAUGCCAUGCAUCAGCUGGACGUGCUUCUCCAGCAUCAAACGUUUGGUAAAGGUGACUUUGGGGAAGUUAGAGGGAGAAAAGUCAUAACUUCAUACCCAGAUCUGGCAAGGCAUCCACAUCUCACCUUGUCCUGGGAGUCCUACCUCCACGAGGUAUCUGCCUUGCACCAACAUGCAAGAGCCUCCUUAACGACCACCAUGCAGCCAGAAACUCCCACAAACUUAAAGACUGCAGGCUACAGGAUUAUCCUCAACCGUUGCUGACACAUGCCCUUCAGCUCACACCUUUUUAUGAAAAAGGAAAAACCAAGCCAAUCACAUGAUUUAAAUAUAGCACAGCAGCAGUCCCUCCAAAAUUCACUCCUAAAGCUCUGACCCCUUCCACUGGGCAAUCUAUUCUAUGAAGAGACCUGCAUACUUACUACAGCCCGUUUCUGCUGUAAUGCAACAUCGGUGCUCCUAAAAAUCACUGCACUAUGCAAAACUUCAACAAAACAACAGGGCCUCUAGCAAAAAUGGAGUCACGGAGACAACACUCAAGACUUUGUCAGUGACACAUCGAAUGAAAAUAUUUAGUUUUAACUACGUCAAAUGGUUAAGAAAUGCAAAAAACACUGCACUUUACCUUGAAAAAGACCUGCAGUGAGCUUGUGGAGGUCAGAGGGUUGCAGCUUGUGAGUUACUGUGAAGUGGGGGAAGGAGGGCAAUCUUAGUGGAAGGGAAGCUUGCAACACCAGCUGUGGAUGGAUGUGACCCACAGUUGAGAGGGAGGCCCUGGUGAAAUCGGAGGUUUGUUGUGUGUAUGUGUUUUGUGUUUUCCUACACAACUCCACAGCAUUCUGUAGUCACUUGGUAUUUCUCAGGGAUGAAAUCACACAUAAGCAAACAUGAAAUUCAGGUUAAGCUCCCAUUGUUCUGAUAAAUCUUGGUACUGGGAUAAAUUUGUUUCAGCAUAAGUGUUAUAGCAGAAGUCACUGUGUUCAAGUUUAUUCACUGCACCAUUGUGUACGGUGGGUCCAUCAAAGGAGAACUGGCUAAAUACAUGCAUGCACUCAUACCACAAGAUGCCGUGCCGCUACAGAAAUGGAGGGAAGAUCUCAAUGCACUGAUACGAAAAGAACCAUAACUACUAAGCGGAGAAAGUACUGGUACACAAAAUUAUAGAUGGAAGCUGUGUUCUGUAUUAGAAGAAUGAGAAUAUAUGCAUAUAUGCUAAUACUUGCAUAAGGAGACUUCAAGAUAAGAAACUUAGGAGUUAAGACUUCACUAUAUUCCUUCAUAUUGUUUAAAUUUUUAAACUAUGUAAAUAUAGCACAUAUCCAAAAAAAAUUUUACCGCAAAAAAAACUGAGCUUAUUGAGAUAUAGUUUAUAAAAUCACUUUUUUAAAAGUAGAGUUCUAUGAAUAAGUGCCACCACAGUCAAGACAUAGAACAGUUGUGUCAUCCCCCAAAAUUCCCACGUGCCCUUUAUAAUCAACCCCACCCCCUCGACCCCGCUCUUAGCAGCCAGGGAUUUGCUUUCUAUCUCUGGUUUUGCUUUCUCCAUUUGUCAUAUAAAUGGAGCCAUACAGUACACGUGAAGCUUUGAGUCUCGCUUCUUUCACUCAGCAUAAUACACAUAUAAUUCCUCCACGCUGUUGGGUCUAUUGGUAUUUGUUCCUUUUCUCUGCUGACUAGUGUUCCAGUGUGGAUGUGCCCAAGUGUGUUUAUUCACUUGCCAAGUGAAAGCCAUUUAGGGAUUUUCUAGUUUUUGAUAUUAUGAAUAAAGCCACUAUAAACAUUUACUAUAAUCAUUCAUCUGUGCAUAUGAUUUCUCUUGGGUAAAUACCCAGGAGCGGGAUUACUAAGUCAUAUGUUAAAUAAGAAACUGUCUAACUGUUUUCCAGAGCGGCUGUCCCCUGCAUACCCACCAGCAAUGGAGAGAAACUGCCACCGUUCCGCCAUCUUUUAACAUUUGGCAUUGCCACUUCAUUUAGUUCAGUCAUUCUACAGGGUGGCCAGUAGUAUUUUGUUGUGGUUUUAAUUUGCAUUUCUCUAAUGACUUAUUAAGGUAACAAAAAAAUCUUUCUGGCCAGGCACAGUGGCUCACGCCUGUAAUCCCAGCACUUUGGAAGCCAAGGCGGGCGCACCACUUGAGGCCAGGAGUUCAAGUCCAGCCUGGCCAACAUGGCAAAAUCCUGUCUCUACUAAAAAUACAAAUAUUAGCUGGGCAUGGUGGUGCAUGCCUGUAAUCCCAGCUACUCAGGAGGCUGAGGCACAAGAAUCACUUGAACUCGGUAAGCAGCAGUUGCAGUGAGCAGAGAUAGUGCCACUGCAUUCCAGCCUGGGCGACAGAGUGAGUGAAAACUCUGUCUCAAAAAACAGAUAUAUAUUUCAAUUAGUAGGUAAAACACCAACUUACAGUAAGCCUCUUUCUUCAAAGAAAAAGCGUACAAUCAAAGUUUUGUUGUUUUUUAAUUAUUAAAGGGAUGUUUGGGGGGCAUUUUCCCUCCCCCAUAAGCUCCUUGAGAACAGAAGCUGUCAAUUGUUCAUCUCUGCAUCAGAAAACAGUAAAUACUGUGGGAAUGAAUAAAUAAAGAUUAACUGAACAAAACUGUCUACUUGGAAAACAUCGGCAGGUUCUACGAAGUAAUCAUGGAGUAACAAAUUUAGGAUAAAGUGCUGGACACAGAGGAACUCUGCUUAUUUCCUGCAGGAUGGCCAAGACAUGACGGUGUUUAAAUACGGAUAAGAAAGAGCCUGUAAUAAAUGAAGAGACUGAGGAUAGAGGCGAGCGAUGAAUGAAUGAGCAGGGAGACAGGGAUUCAGACACAGGAAGAACAGCUCUUCCUGUGUGGCCAGAGCCAAGGCGUCAUCCGGGGACAGGUGUGAUGCUUAUUAAAGUCAGGGGUGGGUGGGUGACGAAGGGGCCCAGAUAUUGAGGGAAUUCCUGCUCAGCAGCUUCCAUUUUCAAAAUGAAGCACGUAUGGUACAUUUUAGACUUCAGACUCAAAUAACUGUGGCCUUCAUUUUCUUAUUUCUUUAUCAAAGUAACAAAUGCUUAUUGCACAAUGUAAAAGAGAAAAGAUUGCUUCCAAUCUCACCCAUCAAAAUAACCACUGUCAAUUUCUAAUGACACAGCCUUCCCACUUUUCUGAAUAUACACACUGAUGUGUAUUUAUAUUUCUAAAACCGAUCUAUAUUAUACAUAUUGGCUUUCAAACUAAUUCUUUUUCACUUGUAAAACACACAUAUCUACACACACUGACAGUUGUUUUCUUGUUUGUAUUUUUGAGACAGAGUCUCUGUCGCCCAGGCUGGAGUGCAGUAGUGCAAUCUCAGCUCACCAUAGCCUCUGCCCUGGGAUUCAAGUGAUUCUCGUACCUCAGCCUCCCAAGUAGCUGGGACUGCAGGUGUGUACCACCACACCUGGAUAAUUUGUGUGUUUUUAAUAGAGAUAGGGUUUCACCAUGUUGCCCAGGCAGGUCUCAAACUUCUUACCUCAGGUGAUCUACCCGCCUCAGCCUCCCAAAGUGCUGGAAUUACAGGCGUGAGCCACCAUGCCCAGCUAGUUCUGCAUUCUUAACAAGUGUAUUGUAUUCUGUUGCACAAAUGAACCAUGAAUUGUUUAUCUUCUAUUAAAGAUUCAGGUUGUCUCAACUUCUUAGUAACUACAGACACAAAUUUCCAUAAUCAAUUAUUUCCUUUGUAUAAACUAUUGAAGGCAGUCUUUCCAAUAUAAAGGUUGUGAAAAAUAAGCCUCUUUAAAUGCCAAACUGCCCUAAAAAAGAUUCAUUCUACCACCACUAGCACGUUCACCAAGGGAGUUUCCCACACCAGCUCUAGUCUUCAACUCUACCAAAGUGAUAGGUAAAACAGUCGACCAACUUUUUCUCUAAAUGGCCAGACAGUAUGUUAGGCCAGAAACCAUAAGGUUUCUGUUGCAACUACUCAACUCUGCCCUUGUACCUUAAAACCAAGAAUAGACGAUAAUAAUUAAAUGAAUGGGCGUGGCUGUGUUCUCAUAAAUUAUUUACAAAAACAGGUGGCAGGCCCAUGAAACGCAGUUUGCUGAUCCCUGAUUGAGACCACUGUUUCACAUUCAAUAGAAAAUAGAGACAAGUCUCAAUCAUUCAGAACCAAAUUUAUGUAAAUUUAUGUAGAUAAUCUAAAGCCAGUCAUAACUAUAAAGUGAAAAGAAUGCUUUUUUUUCAUAUGCCAUGCUCUAAACAGGUUCUGAGAACCAGCACUAUCACUGUCACGUGCCUAGAUUACCGAGGUGACAACUUUGAAAUAAAGAGGGUUAAACCAACGUGUGCUUACCACUAUGCUUAUUUAAAACAACAAAAACAAAACCAAGUCUCCGAAGUUUCUGGUUAUAAGACUGUCUGGUCUGCUGAUGACACUGUACAACUGAAAAAGUAAUGACGCAGAACAGUAACAAAUGCACAAGAACAGAAGGCCAAAUCCGGAGCAGAUGGCAAAGAAACGUGUCGCACCGUAGUUUCUGAGCUUAGGGCAAUGUCAGACACUUGGGCAGAGAAAAAAAGAAAGGGCUGAAGGAAGGCUACCUAACUUUCUAACAAGCUGCCAGCAUCAUGCCAAUGAAACCCAGAAAUGCCUGCCAGGGCACGGUGGGGCUACCAGGGGUACAUGCCUGCCAGGGGCCUCUGUGUCCACCUCCACUGGCCAGUGGGGAUGUGCAGCAGAGGUUUGGGACUCUCACUGCAGACCCUAAACAAACCUCACAUCUCUUCUCUGUCAGGGGACUCUUGGGUCAAUACCCUCGUGCCAUCCACUGGGUACAUCUUUAUUAAUCCUCAUUAGAAAGCCGACAAAAUAAAUCCUGACUAAUCUUUACUGCCUCUCCUUCACAAUGACUGACGCCCUGGAAAGAGGGCUGACAGGUGCCUUGAGGCAUCCAUUGCCAUGAUCAUAAACUCUGAAACAUUCACCAGAGACCACCUGACUAUGAAAAAAAUCUUUGCUGCCCUAUUUGUCUAGAUCUGGCUCAACUUCAUUCCCCUUCUACUUGCAGGCAUCUGUCCUACCUUUGAAGCCUCCCUGGUUCCCAAGAUGUCCAUCUACAGAUGGGUGACAUGUUAUUUCUCUUAUUAUUCCUGUUCUCAGAGAAUCCAGUCUUCAAAAAGGGACCACUGGCAGGAAUACACAGAAUAUUUUCUCCUAGUACAGUAGUUAUAGAAUCUUUUGGCCCUUUUUAAUCAUAAAGCAAUUGAAACAGAAAAAGGUCACUGUGAAAGAUUUUUUUCCCCGUAUAAUAGCUAGUAUUUUAUAAAAGGACAAAUAUGGUUGGG
rnacentral:lncRNA from 1 species